CGCGUAGGCGGCUUUGUAAGUCUGGAGUGAAAGUCCUCUUUUCACGGGAGGAAUUGCUUUGGAAACUAUAGAGCUUGAGUGCAGGAGAGGUUAUCGGAAUUCCCGGUGUAGCGGUGAAAUGCGUAGAUAUAUGGAGGAACACCAGUGGCGAAGGCGACGAUCUGGCGCAUAACUGACGCUCAGUCCCGAAAGCGUGGGGAGCAAAUA
rnacentral:rRNA from 1 species